rnacentral:rRNA from 1 species
AGCGAACGCUGGCGGCAGGCCUAAACAUGCAAGUCGAACGCCCGUAGCAAUACGGGAGUGGCAGACGGGUGAGUAACACGUGGGAACGUGCCCUUUGGUUCGGAACAACACAGGGAAACUUGUGCUAAUACCGGAUAAGCCCUUACGGGGAAAGAUUUAUCGCCAGAGGAUCGGCCCGCGUCUGAUUAGCUAGUUGGUGAGGUAACGGCUCACCAAGGCUACGAUCAGUAGCUGGUCGAGAGGAUGAUCAGCCACACUGGGACUGAGACACGGCCCAGACUCCUACGGGAGGCAGCAGUUAGGAAUCUUGGACAAUGGGCGCAAGCCUGAUCCAGCCAUGCCGCGUGAGUGAUGAAGGCCUUAGGGUUGUAAAGCUCUUUCAGCGGGGAAGAUAAUGACGGUACCCGCAGAAGAACGCCCCGGCUAACUUCGUGCCAGCCGCCGCCCGUAAC